GCGUUCCUCUUCCAGGAACGAGCCCGCUGCCCGAGGUCACUUCUGCAGCAUCCGGUUUCUUUAAACUGCUAACGAAGACCUCGGCGUUAGGAGACAACACGUAGGUGGAAGAAAAAGCAGGAAGGUCCCUGCCCUUUGCUCCCCUACAAGUCCUGGGCUCCCUGGGGGUUUUUUGGGAGUGGUUGGUUCUUUUUUUUUUUUUUUUUAGGAGGGAGGUGGGAAAAGGGAAAUCAUUUGGGAUACAGCCACCAGAUCUGGGUCUUGUGGCUUUUUGGCUGACCCGGUGCUAAAUGCAACAUCUGAGUCCUCAGGCUUGUGUUCAACAGCUGCUCUAGGCUCUGAUCCAGGUGACCAUCUGAGCUUUCAUUAAAGACCCAUUUCACCCUGGAAGCUUCAGCUGGGGACUCAGAUGGCUUAGUUGAGCUCCAGGGCUCAACACGGGCCAUAAAAAGUAACAGCAGAAAGGGAAUACACAUGGAUGUAAAGCCCACAUCAAGAUCUGGGGGUGGGUUUCCCAGCUCCAUAAAGAUUAACCUCUGGUUUGGGGUCCCGCAUCUCAAAAGCAAUUUUUGCCUUCCAAGAAUGUUUUGUGCAGCCUUGGAGGUCUUGCAUUAAAUAGGAAUGACAAUAUACGAGGCCGUUCCUUGGCUGGGGUUUAUCUAUAAUGUGGUUGUCUCCACCUGAGCAGCUCUUGUUAUGGAGAACAGAGAUAAAAGUGAGUGACAGUCACCUACUUACUUGGGGGGGUGAGGCAUGUGUCACAUUACCAUCAACAGAGAGAUGUAGGGACUUCUGGAGAGUGAUUCAUCUCCUCCUAACGAGGACUUGAAAACAGACCAAGUGAUCCUAUCCAUAAAUGUUGGUUUUUAAAGUCAGCCCAGCUGAUCUGACAUCUCCAAGUUGAGAUCUUUCCCUCGGGGACGUCUGGAGCCAAGAGGAGACAGAUCCCAAGCCCAGAGGUUGUACUGGAGGAAUAUUAGUCUUGGUGUCUUGAUGCCAGGGGCUUGCAAAGGGUUUCCGAUUUGUAGUAGGGCUUGGGUUCAUCCUGAAACCUUUGCAGUUGGGCAAGAACACUGAGGAAGGGUAUCCGUCCUCUACUUGAACCUCUCUUGUAAUUUAAAUAUUUUCACGGCAUUUGCCUUUUCCAGCAUCUGCUAAACAGGAGCAUCAGACUUCAGGCAUGCAUUUACUGCUAAUCCAGACUUGUUCAUUUGGGACUAGAAAUGAGCUUUUUCAGAUUUUCCACCGCAUCUCUCUGCAGAAGGGAAGAGGUGGUGGCCUAUGAGCUGGAGAGAGAAAUCCACACGCUCUCCAGCGAUGCAUAAAUAGCAACGGAAAAGAGACACCUCGACAGAAACGAUGGGCAGCCCAGUGGGAAAAGCAGAACAAGAUCGGCAGGGGCUCGGGAAGGAGUGAAGCUUUUCAUCCCUCCUCCAAAGCCAUCAAUGAAUGAUUCAUCUUCCAGCUCCUAUUUGGGGCAGCUCCAUGCAAAGAAGGGCAGAAGCAUCUCCUGCAGGACACUGCCCACCUACCACAGUGGCUUGUUUUGGUAAGGAGAGGUUGGGACAUCCAAAACAACAGGAAGGAGGGGGAAAAAAUUCACCCCCAUGAACACGGUUUCUUGCAGGACUGGCUUUUGGUAUCAAACCAUCCCGGGGCUGAUAGUCCUUUUUCUCCUAUGUUAGGUGAGUCCGAGCAUGUUCAGGUUCUCACGCCUGUGUUUCCAGGUAGGACACGUGUGAGCAAUCACUGUCCCGCACUGGGGGUCUCCCUGCUUACCCCAAAACUGGACCCAGCCACAAGGCUGGAUGAACAGAGAUCCAGGCUCAGUCCCAUGGCUGGAAAGGGUCUCCUCCAAACUUCUCACUCCAAAACCAGGUUGGAAGUUGAACCUGGCUCCAGAAGACACCUGUAUCCGCACAAGGAAGAAGCCCCUACAGCCCCAAGCCACAUAAGAAUCUCUGCAGCCAUCAGUUUAUCUGGAAAACAAACUCCUCAGGGGGUAAUAAUCAAAAGGAACAUCCCUCUGCUACCCAGUGCAGCGGGCAGGGUUUUUUAUCCUCUAAAAAACAUAUGAUCUGUUAUUUAGCUAAACAACUUCUUACAGCACUGAGCUUCCCAGCUACAAAUGCCUCAGGCAAAAUAAACCCUCUUUUCCUUUUAUCCCCUCUCCCUUAUGCUGCAAUACGGCAGAAAGAGUCCAAAAUACCCAUUUUCCUAGACCAGACAGUGACAACAGCAGAAUCUCCGCUUCUACACGAUUCCCACAUUUUAUACUUACGGUUUCUCCUCCCACCAUAGACAUUUUGCCCUCAUAGAUAUGGAUGAGGCUAAAAAAAAAGCCCAUUUAUUUUAAAACUGCCUAUGAUACAUUGCCCUCUCCUCUCCAGGGCCUUUGGGCUGCAGGUAGCAACUACAGCUGCCCUGAACUGAUCAAGCUGUUCCUUUACAACAGCAGGAGUUUGGUGCCUCCUGAAGGACUAUUUAUUGUCUACAUUAGAUGGAUGGCUUCAGUUCUGUUGACUAGGUAAGGGAAUUUUGGGUUAGCACGGGUGAAAUAAAUC